rnacentral:rRNA from 1 species
UGGGGAAUUUUGGACAAUGGACGCAAGUCUGUUCCAGCCAUGCCGCGUGCGGGAAGAAGGCCUUCGGGUUGUAAACCGCUUUUGUCAGGGAAGAAACGAGUUUCUCUAAUACAGAGACUUAAUGACGGUACCUGAAGAAUAAGCACCGGCUAACUACGUGCCAGCAGCCGCGGUAAUACGUAGGGUGCACGCGUUAAUCGGAAUUACUGGGCGUAAAGCGUGCGCAGGCGGUUAUGCAAGACAGAUGUGAAAUCCCCGGGCUCAACCUGGGAACUGCCUUUGUGACUGCAUAGCUAGAGUACGGUAGAGGGGGAUGGAAUUCCGCGUGUAGCAGUGAAAUGCGUAGAUAUGCGGAGGAACACCGAUGGCGAAGGCAAUCCCCUGGACCUGUACUGACGCUCAUGCACGAAAGCGUGGGGAGCAAACA